rnacentral:rRNA from 1 species
GACGAACGCUGGCGGCGUGCCUAACACAUGCAAGUCGAGCGAGAAACUUCGGUUUCUAGCGGCGGACGGGUGAGUAACACGUGGGUAACCUGCCUCAAAGAGGGGGAUAGCCUCCCGAAAGGGAGAUUAAUACCGCAUAAUAUCAGGAUCUCGCAUGGGAACUUGAUUAAAGGAGCAAUCCGCUUUGAGAUGGACCCGCGGCGCAUUAGCUAGUUGGUGAGGUAACGGCUCACCAAGGCGACGAUGCGUAGCCGACCUGAGAGGGUGAUCGGCCACAUUGGAACUGAGACACGGUCCAGACUCCUACGGGAGGCAGCAGUGGGGAAUAUUGCACAAUGGGCGAAAGCCUGAUGCAGCAACGCCGCGUGAGUGAUGAAGGCCUUCGGGUUGUAAAACUCUGUCUUCUGGGACGAUAAUGACGGUACCAGAGGAGGAAGCCACGGCUAACUACGUGCCAGCCGCCGCCGUAAUAC